rnacentral:tRNA from 1 species
GUCCCGCUGGUGUAGUGGCAGCACAGGAAUCUCCAAAAUUCCGAGUGGGAGUUCGAUUCUCUCGCGGGAUGCCA